UUAAGCGACUAAGCGUACACGGUGGAUGCCCUGGCAGUCAGAGGCGAUGAAGGACGUGCUAAUCUGCGAUAAGCGUCGGUAAGGUGAUAUGAACCGUUAUAACCGGCGAUUUCCGAAUGGGGAAACCCAGUGUGUUUCGACACACUAUCAUUAACUGAAUCCAUAGGUUAAUGAGGCGAACCGGGGGAACUGAAACAUCUAAGUACCCCGAGGAAAAGAAAUCAACCGAGAUUCCCCCAGUAGCGGCGAGCGAACGGGGAGCAGCCCAGAGCCUGAAUCAGUGUGUGUGUUAGUGGAAGCGUCUGGAAAGGCGCGCGAUACAGGGUGACAGCCCCGUACACAAAAAUGCACAUGCUGUGAGCUCGAUGAGUAGGGCGGGACACGUGGUAUCCUGUCUGAAUAUGGGGGGACCAUCCUCCAAGGCUAAAUACUCCUGACUGACCGAUAGUGAACCAGUACCGUGAGGGAAAGGCGAAAAGAACCCCGGCGAGGGGAGUGAAAAAGAACCUGAAACCGUGUACGUACAAGCAGUGGGAGCACGCUUAGGCGUGUGACUGCGUACCUUUUGUAUAAUGGGUCAGCGACUUAUAUUCUGUAGCAAGGUUAACCGAAUAGGGGAGCCGAAGGGAAACCGAGUCUUAACUGGGCGUUAAGUUGCAGGGUAUAGACCCGAAACCCGGUGAUCUAGCCAUGGGCAGGUUGAAGGUUGGGUAACACUAACUGGAGGACCGAACCGACUAAUGUUGAAAAAUUAGCGGAUGACUUGUGGCUGGGGGUGAAAGGCCAAUCAAACCGGGAGAUAGCUGGUUCUCCCCGAAAGCUAUUUAGGUAGCGCCUCGUGAAUUCAUCUCCGGGGGUAGAGCACUGUUUCGGCAAGGGGGUCAUCCCGACUUACCAACCCGAUGCAAACUGCGAAUACCGGAGAAUGUUAUCACGGGAGACACACGGCGGGUGCUAACGUCCGUCGUGAAGAGGGAAACAACCCAGACCGCCAGCUAAGGUCCCAAAGUCAUGGUUAAGUGGGAAACGAUGUGGGAAGGCCCAGACAGCCAGGAUGUUGGCUUAGAAGCAGCCAUCAUUUAAAGAAAGCGUAAUAGCUCACUGGUCGAGUCGGCCUGCGCGGAAGAUGUAACGGGGCUAAACCAUGCACCGAAGCUGCGGCAGCGACGCUUAUGCGUUGUUGGGUAGGGGAGCGUUCUGUAAGCCUGUGAAGGUGUACUGUGAGGUAUGCUGGAGGUAUCAGAAGUGCGAAUGCUGACAUAAGUAACGAUAAAGCGGGUGAAAAGCCCGCUCGCCGGAAGACCAAGGGUUCCUGUCCAACGUUAAUCGGGGCAGGGUGAGUCGACCCCUAAGGCGAGGCCGAAAGGCGUAGUCGAUGGGAAACAGGUUAAUAUUCCUGUACUUGGUGUUACUGCGAAGGGGGGACGGAGAAGGCUAUGUUGGCCGGGCGACGGUUGUCCCGGUUUAAGCGUGUAGGCUGGUUUUCCAGGCAAAUCCGGAAAAUCAAGGCUGAGGCGUGAUGACGAGGCACUACGGUGCUGAAGCAACAAAUGCCCUGCUUCCAGGAAAAGCCUCUAAGCAUCAGGUAACAUCAAAUCGUACCCCAAACCGACACAGGUGGUCAGGUAGAGAAUACCAAGGCGCUUGAGAGAACUCGGGUGAAGGAACUAGGCAAAAUGGUGCCGUAACUUCGGGAGAAGGCACGCUGAUAUGUAGGUGAAGCGACUUGCUCGUGGAGCUGAAAUCAGUCGAAGAUACCAGCUGGCUGCAACUGUUUAUUAAAAACACAGCACUGUGCAAACACGAAAGUGGACGUAUACGGUGUGACGCCUGCCCGGUGCCGGAAGGUUAAUUGAUGGGGUUAGCGCAAGCGAAGCUCUUGAUCGAAGCCCCGGUAAACGGCGGCCGUAACUAUAACGGUCCUAAGGUAGCGAAAUUCCUUGUCGGGUAAGUUCCGACCUGCACGAAUGGCGUAAUGAUGGCCAGGCUGUCUCCACCCGAGACUCAGUGAAAUUGAACUCGCUGUGAAGAUGCAGUGUACCCGCGGCAAGACGGAAAGACCCCGUGAACCUUUACUAUAGCUUGACACUGAACAUUGAGCCUUGAUGUGUAGGAUAGGUGGGAGGCUUUGAAGUGUGGACGCCAGUCUGCAUGGAGCCGACCUUGAAAUACCACCCUUUAAUGUUUGAUGUUCUAACGUUGACCCGUAAUCCGGGUUGCGGACAGUGUCUGGUGGGUAGUUUGACUGGGGCGGUCUCCUCCUAAAGAGUAACGGAGGAGCACGAAGGUUGGCUAAUCCUGGUCGGACAUCAGGAGGUUAGUGCAAUGGCAUAAGCCAGCUUGACUGCGAGCGUGACGGCGCGAGCAGGUGCGAAAGCAGGUCAUAGUGAUCCGGUGGUUCUGAAUGGAAGGGCCAUCGCUCAACGGAUAAAAGGUACUCCGGGGAUAACAGGCUGAUACCGCCCAAGAGUUCAUAUCGACGGCGGUGUUUGGCACCUCGAUGUCGGCUCAUCACAUCCUGGGGCUGAAGUAGGUCCCAAGGGUAUGGCUGUUCGCCAUUUAAAGUGGUACGCGAGCUGGGUUUAGAACGUCGUGAGACAGUUCGGUCCCUAUCUGCCGUGGGCGCUGGAGAACUGAGGGGGGCUGCUCCUAGUACGAGAGGACCGGAGUGGACGCAUCACUGGUGUUCGGGUUGUCAUGCCAAUGGCACUGCCCGGUAGCUAAAUGCGGAAGAGAUAAGUGCUGAAAGCAUCUAAGCACGAAACUUGCCCCGAGAUGAGUUCUCCCUGACUCCUUGAGAGUCCUGAAGGAACGUUGAAGACGACGACGUUGAUAGGCCGGGUGUGUAAGCGCAGCGAUGCGUUGAGCUAACCGGUACUAAUGAACCGUGAGGCUUAACCU
rnacentral:rRNA from 1 species